UAAGAUGCACAGACGAUCGCUCUCACGCGGUAACGCGGGGGAGAGGAAAGUCCGGACACCCGCCCGCCCAAAUUUUUUAUUUUUUGCGAACGCGAAAAACGCCGUUUGCGCAUGCGCGACAAAAAGUCAAGAGAUAAAAAAUUUGGGCGGGCAACGGCAGCGGCUAACGGCCGUCGAGGGCGACCUUAGAGGUGCGAACAGAGACGCUUUCCAACGAAAGACGGAAGGCGCCCUUCUCGCGCAAGCGAGCAAGGGCGAGCCCCGAUGGCAACACCGGGGGUGAAACGGCCAAAUCCUUGUCGGGUGCAAGACAAUAUGCUUUCCUUGAAAGCAGGUAGUCGCAUGAUCACCGCAGUAAUGCGGUGACAAGAGAAAUGAUCGUCGCCGACCGGCCGGUUUUCCGGCUGGCGGAACAGAAUCCGGCUUACGUACAUCUUCACCG
rnacentral:RNase_P_RNA from 1 species